UGUUUCUGAAAACCAUUGAUAUUCAUUCAAAAGAUGUAUAGAUACCGAAUACAAACAUGGACAAGCGGCAGACAGGAGGUUCAUUGCUCGAAAUUGACGAUAAUAUCAUAAGGAAACAACUGCUGUUAGAGGGAGAUGUACCCAAAGAGCUGGAGUCGCUGUUCCCCGCUUCCUCGGCACCCCAGAGAACGGAAACGAUCAAACCGAAGCCAGGACUUUGCGUCAAGACACGCAAUGAAGACAAACAGAAGUUGUUCAUCAACGU
rnacentral:lncRNA from 1 species